rnacentral:rRNA from 1 species
AUUGAACGCUGGCGGCAGGCCUAACACAUGCAAGUCGAGCGGAUGAGGGGGGCUUGCUCCCUGAUUUAGCGGCGGACGGGUGAGUAAUGCCUAGGAAUCUGCCUGGUAGUGGGGGAUAACGUUCCGAAAGGAACGCUAAUACCGCAUACGUCCUACGGGAGAAAGCAGGGGACCUUCGGGCCUUGCGCUAUCAGAUGAGCCUAGGUCGGAUUAGCUAGUUGGUGAGGUAAUGGCUCACCAAGGCGACGACCCGUAACUGGUCUGAGAGGAUGAUCAGUCACACUGGAACUGAGACACGGUCCAGACUCCUACGGGAGGCAGCAGUGGGGAAUAUUGGACAAUGGGCGAAAGCCUGAUCCAGCCAUGCCGCGUGUGUGAAGAAGGUCUUCGGAUUGUAAAGCACUUUAAGUUGGGAGGAAGGGCUGCUGGUUAAUACCCUGCAGUUUUGACGUUACCAACAGAAUAAGCACCGGCUAACUUCGUG